AUGCAAUUACUAAUAACUUCUUGUUAUCUAAAGGUCAAAGAUAGGAAUCAACAUAAAGGGACCUAUGAAACCAUCAACAUGUCCAUUCCUACUAUGCCAAACGCCAAUGAAGAGAAAGAUGAUGUGACCUAUUCUGAGGUUACCACUUCCAGUAAAAAACGAGUACAAAUGGACUAUAAUAAUUCUAUUGAUACAGUGACUUACGCUGUCAUCAGAGGAACAGAAUAUGCACCUCAGGAUGGACUUUACUCCUCUGUGAACACCACCACCACCCCUCACAAAUAAACAUUAAUUAUGCAAAUCAUUUCAUGACCUCAUAUUAUGAGCAGAUAUGCAGUUUUUCGCAUCUGCAGAGAUUUAUGCAUUUAUGAGAUUCAUUGUAUGUUAAGGAACAGAACUUUUAUAGUAAAUAUUUGGUCAGUUCACAGUAAAAUUGGCUUGAAGGUUUAGCAGUUGGAUUUCCAUGUAAAACCAUUUUUUCUUUCAUGGAGAAGCCCAAAAGUUUUUGUGUCUUCAAUUCCAUUAAAAACAGAAGUAACUGAACUUGCUCAUUAUUGAUGGAACAUUUUAAAAGCAGAAUUCACUUUUAAAUGAAUACUUGUAUUAAUACAAUGUUAUUUAUUCAAAGAUAAUUUAAACACCGCAAGUAUUUAAAACAUUAAGAAAAUCUGCAAUCAUCAGAAUUAAACCGAUACACAUAUUAUCUCUGACUUUUCAAAUGUAUCCUGGUAUUGUCUUGUGUUCAGUUCCCAAGACUGUGAAUAUUUAACGAUAUUCUGUUCAAUUGAAAGUGUUAAUGGUUUGUUUAAUUUUUUUUUUUAUUACCUUUCAUUUCUUGUGUGUUUCUCGUAUGUUUUUAUACUGUACAUUCAUGAAUGUGUAUCCUGGUAUUGUCUUGUGUUCAGUUCCCAAGACUGUGAAUAUUUAACGAUAUUCUGUUCAAUUGAAAGUGUUAAUGGUUUUGUUUAAUUUUUUUUUAUUACCUUUCAUUUCUUGUGUGUUUCUCGUAUGUUUUUAUACUGUACAUUCAUGAAUGGAUUUAUAUAUUACACUUACUGUGCUAUGUUAGUAACAUAACAAAGUAAGCGUAACAAUGUUACAUGUUUUCCAGAGAAUUUUCAGAACUCUUUCAAAUCAUGUGACUGUUCUGUGUGAGAACCAGCGUGAAAAACUGUGUAAGUUUGCCCACACUCACCGCAAGUAUUUUAAAACAUUUAAGAAAAUCUGCAAUCAUCAGAAUUAAACCGAUACACAUAUUAUCUCUGACUUUUCAAAUGUAUCCUGGUAUUGUCUUGUGUUCAGUUCCCAAGACUGUGAAUAUUUAACGAUAUUCUGUUCAAUUGAAAGUUGUUAAUGGUUUGUUAAUUUUUUUUUUUAUUACCUUUCAUUUCUUGUGUGUUUCUCGUAUGUUUUUAUACUGUACAUUCAUGAAUGGAUUUAUAUAUUACACUUACUGUGCUAUGUUAGUAACAUAACAAAGUAAGCGUAACAAUGUUACAUGUUUUCCAGAGAAUUUUCAGAACUCUUUCAAAUCAUGUGACUGUUCUGUGUGAGAACCAGCGUGAAAAACUGUGUAAGUUUGCCCACACUGGUUAAACAGACAACUGAAUCAUUCCACCCGCAGUUCCUCUUCUUCUUUUAGCAAGUUGCUUCAUACCCUUGAAUUCUAUAUUGAUCUCAACUUCUCAGCUGGUGAGGAUCUGGACACUCAUGCUAGUCUUUAUGAGUCUGCAUGUGAAUUGAAGUUAUCACUGGAUGCUUUUCAUUACCUAAUUAAUUAAAGUGUGCAAGUUGAAUGAAUUACUGUUCACAUUGCUGUUCAAUAUUGUCAAUUGUAGACAGGGGCGUCGGACAGGGGGUAAUAGUGGAACUGAGUAACAGGGGCCCUUGUGAGGGGCCCACUCUGACUACAACACUACUGAAUGAGGAUCAAAACAGAGAGUGGAGAUGUCAGGUUACUCAGAGAAAUGAAGUGAACACCUCAGCUGCAUACAUUGUCAAUUAUUUAGGUGAAUAAAUGAAUCAGUUUUUAGUAGGCCCUCAAAUUACCAGAAACUCUAUUAUUGAAGUAUUAUUUAAUUAUCAUUAUCAUUGUACAAGUUUUCAUUUAGCUCAUUGAAUAUAUACAUUCUUUAUUAGUCAUGGUGCGUCGUUUCAAUAUUUCUUUAAACAUUUAAAGGCUUAAGCACACUGAUGUAAGUACAAUUGCUUAUUUGUUGUCUAACUGGUAAGAUCAAAUUAUGGAGUAUCUACUCACAUUAAUAUCAAAACAAAUAAUGUGAGUAGAUACUGUUCAUUCUUCUUUUUCCUGUGACACUCUUAAUCAGAGUAAAUUACCAGGAAACUUUAUAUAACUUGACUUAUUUGUUACAUUUGUUACACAAGCUUUUCCCGAAAUAUAUGCACAAAAGGAUUUCAGUGCAAUAAUGUUAAAACUUUUUUUAACUAAAUCAACCAAAGAAUAACAGCAGGAAGGAAAACAAGCUAAUAGCAGCAGCAACCAAAUAAUAAAAAAAAAAUUCAGAUUUGUGGAAAUUGAUUUUACAGACAUUUCAUUAAGUUUCUAUCACUUGCCACUUUAUAUGUUGUUUAUAUGAGGCCAUAGAGUAGGCCUAUACCUUGUACUAAAUGCCCUUAACACAUGCA
rnacentral:lncRNA from 1 species